rnacentral:rRNA from 1 species
AUGGCAUCGACGGAGGAGCAAGUCUUCCUUGAAUCGAGGAACCUGUCAUAUGAUGGCGCCCACCACCCCGACGCCUGCACCGACUGGGAUUACCCGGAAGACCCAGGCGACCGGCGGAACGGGGUGGAGGUUGCCGAGCUCCAUGACCAGCCGGCGCGCAUGAGCACCUCAGAUUCAGAUCCAUGUGAAGUCGCCAGGCGUGCCUUGGACCUCAUGUUCCCGCGGGAGGAGGACAGCGAUGACUGCUGGAGCACCUGGAGCGCACGGGAGAAGGGCAGUGAUGACGACGAUGAACAAGGAGGGGAAGAAGGCGAUGGUAGCACACAGGAGAGCAGCGAUUAUGAAGACGACGGCCGCAAUUGCCAAGUGAUACUAGCCGAGACAAACUGUCCAGGAAAGCUCUACCCCGAGAGCCAAGCAGAGGCCAUAGAACUCAGAUGGGCAGACUGGUUCUUCCAGCGGAUUGUAGAACACUCAAAGCUGUGCAAGGAGAUUAUGGCCCUGGGAGAUGAUGAUGAGACUCCUUUCCCCCCAUCUCCCAUGAAAGUGUUCCCUGAGGCAACAGCUUUAUGCAUCCUUGGGGCCAAAUCCUGCCACCACCGUGUUUACAGGACCCAUGACACUUCUACCACCCCAUCAACUCUUGGAUAUCGUGAACCAAGUCAUAUGCUACAAUUUUUCUCCAUGCGUCUAUCAAGCUUUGAAGCCUCGUAUUCCAUUAGUGUGUACGGAAUAUUCGCCAUUCGGGAUUACUUGGACCGGCGACGGAACUAUGUCUUUAACCGUCCCAGGGAUGAUGCUGUAACAAUUGAGAAGCAGGAUUCUUUUGUCGUACCACUUUGUAGCCCUUGUCGAGGAAUGUAUGUAUCGGAUAAGGCUUUAGUAGAAGUUGAUCUUUGGGUAAAGAAGGAAGGGGAUGAAUCAGAUGACAAGCAACUACUUUCUGCCUACGCUGAGAUUGAUGUCCAUGCUGAAGCUAAUGUCAUGUUUUAUUCACGAAUUUCUGGUGAUAAUUGCAAUUUGGACUUAAAAUACAAAGUCCUUUCAGAAAGUGUCGAGGCUGUAAUACAAGUAUAUGCAAAGGUGGACCAUCCUCACCAUGUGAGGUUCACUGCUUUUAGCACCGGAUAUGAUGACUAUCCUCAUCGUGGAGUUGUGCUGUUUGAUGACAAAUUAUUUGGUCACGAAAAAAUAUUCCAGCAUAUUGUUGCAGUGAAAGCAAAUGAAGAACUUCAUGUUUUUUUAGAAGUGAACGGUUCAGUGUUCCAGUGGACUUUUCAAGACGAACAUGUCGGAGCUGUUAUUUCUCCUGAUGACUCAGUCUUUGAGUAUGGCCAGUUCUUCGUGAGGGUGAUAUUUGCUCCAAAGGAUUGUCAGUGA